rnacentral:rRNA from 1 species
CAGCAGCCGCGGUAAUACCGGCGGCCCGAGUGGCGGUCACUAUUAUUGGGCUUAAAGCGUCCGUAGCCGGGUUGGGAAGUCCUCCGGGAAAUCUGGCCGCUUAACGGUCAGAAUGCCGGAGGAUACUCCCAGCCUAGGGAGCGGGAGAGGCCGAGGGGAUUCCCGGAGUAGGGGGGAAAUACUAUAAUCCCGGGAGGACCACCUGUGGCGAAGGCGCUCGGCUGGAACGCGUCCGACGGUGAGGGACGAAGGCCAGGGGAGCAAACCGGAUUAGAUACCCGGGUAGUCCUGGCUGUAAACGAUGCGGACUUUGUGUCGGACAAGCUAUGAGCUUGUCCGGUGCCGGAGGGAAACCGUUAAGUCCGCCGCCUGGGGAGUACGGCCGCAAGGCUGAAACUUAAAGGAAUUGGCGGG